GGGGAUGUAGCUCAUUUGGCAGAGCGCGUCAUUAGCAUCUUGAAGUCGAACAGAUUUUCUUGACGAGGUACCGGGUUCAAUUCCCUGCUUCUCCA